CCCUUUAAAGAUCAGCAUAUAGAUCACCUGAGCAGGGGUCUGCGGGAGCUACGGAAGCCUCUGUGCUCACCUAGGGCUCUUUAAACUUCUGAGGUCCAGCAUUCUAUCAUGCCAUUUCAUUUCAGUUUUGUGGUGUGGAGAAUAGAGCUGAGAAACAGGCAACGCAGCAUUUCCUGAAGCACAAUUGUCGUCAUGAUGAGGUGUGGUGCCAGCCAGACGCAGGGUCACCACGAGCCCCCAGAACCCACAGACAUUUAGCAGGAGAUGCUGAGAAGCAGUAGCUACGUGAAGACACAGCUUUCCCCAGACCUCCCCAUGUUCACUUUGGUGGCUGGAAGUGCUCAACCCCUGAGACUGACAGAGACUGAGAGAGAAGGAAGUUUCUCAGCCUGUCACACAGCCUCUGGUCUGCCCCCGCAGCUUACUUGCAAACUUGCACAGCCCUCGUGGGACGUAGAAGAAAGCUGAGGUCUAAAUUUGAGGUAGCGCAGCAUAGAGGAUAAAAGCAGAGACUUCUGGAACUAGACCGCUGAAUGAGAACUGUGGCUCCACCAACGGUGCUCUUCCUCAGCCAUAAAUGGAAAUGAUUAUAAAACAAACCUCAUAGGAUUGUUACCAAGAACAGUGACUGGUAUAUAUUAUAGUUUGUUAACAAAAUACAUUCUUCAAUAUGCAGCUUUGUGUUAACCUCGUUAAUAGUUCCGUUGUAUGCCCUUAUCUUUGUUUUUAUCCUUCUUCUUUGUCACCUAAUUUCACCGUUCCAAUAGCUAAUAUGCCAUUAUGAAAUGCAGUGAUUUUUAAAAAGAAUUUCUUUAUUUUUGGAUCUUUAAGUUGUUAGUAAUGUUUCUCUAUAAUAUAUUUUAUUGCAGUUGGCAUCUUUGUACAUAAUACCUUUAUAUUUCUGGUAAUUUCCUUGGAGUAGAAUGCUCAGAAUUGGGAUCACUGUGUCAAAGCGUAUGAAUGCAUUUUUAAGGCUUUUGAUCAGUAUUGCCAAAGUGAUUUCCAAAAAAGUUGUAUUCAUUUAUUAUUGUUCUAUCUACGAUAAA